rnacentral:rRNA from 1 species
CCUACGGGAGGCAGCAGCAAGGAAUCUUCCGCAAUGGGCGCAAGCCUGACGGAGCAACGCCGCGUGCGGGAUGACGCCUUUCGGGGUGUAAACCGCUUUUCGGGGGGAAGAAGGUGGGGGUAACCCCACUUGACGGUACCGCCGGAAGAAGGACCGGCUAACUACGUGCCAGCAGCCGCGGUAAUACGUAGGGUCCGAGCGUUGUCCGGAGUUACUGGGCGUAAAGGGCACGCAGGCGGCGGCACUGGCCCGGCGUGAAAGCCCCCGGCUCAACCGGGGAGGGUCGUCGGGGACCGUGCCGCUUGAGGGCAGCAGGGGGUGGUGGAAUGCCCGGUGUAGUGGUGAAAUGCCUAUAGAUCGGGCGGAACACCCGUGGCGAACGCGGCCACCUGGGCUGCACCUGACGCUGAGGUGCGAAGGCGUGGGGAGCGAACGGGAUUACAUACCCCGGUAGUCCACGCAGUAAACGAUGCCGACUACGCGUGGGGGGACUUGACCCCCUCCGUGCCGGAGCCAACGCGGGAAGUCCGCCGCCUGCGGAGUACGGCCGCAAGGCUAAAACUCAAAGGAAUUGACGGGGGCCCGCACAAGCGGCGGACCGUGCGCCUUAAUUCCACGCACCGCGCAAAACCUUACCGAGGCUUGACAUGGGACUGCAGAGCCGGCAAACCGGUUGGCCUUCGAGGGUGUCCCACAGGUGCUGCAUCGCUGUCGUCAGCUCGUGCCGUGAGGUGUUGGGUUAAGUCCCGCAACCAGCGCAACCCCGCGUCUAGUCGAACUGAUCUCGCGCUGACUGCGGGCCUCUAUCGGAGGACGGUGCGGAUGAUGUCCAGUCCCCCUGUCCCUUAACUCUUCGGCUAC